ACGUGCGUGCGCAUAUAAACCACUCCUCACCUCGCUGCUGCUGCUGUGACAGCUCUACGGACCCUGCCCAGUCGUUGCGCCCCCGCCGCUUGUCUCUGUCCCCCGCAGGAGGCUACGCACGACGUGUCGGCCACCCCGCACUGCCCGAUAAGCUGAGCUGGCGCUCACGCCCGAGCAAUCCCGCCCACGGAUCUGCUGCCGCCCCGCACUGCUCUUGACGCUGACUGCGAAUGGCGCUGUGCGUGCGUCGGCUGGUGCUGGCGGCGACCCUCGCCGCUGUGGUGGCGCUGCUGCUGUGCACGAGCAGUGCACCGGUGGCGCGUGCUGCUGGGACGGGCGACUUCACUGCUGCGCAGCGGACGAACACGCUGAAGGUGCUGCAGGCGUUUGGGCGUGCGAUCCCUGAUCUUGGGAAGAAGUGGACAAGCGACAACUUCUGCGCGUGGGAGUUUAUCGUGUGCGAGGUGACCGGAGUGUCCGUGUCGGGAAUAAGUGCGACGUAUGCCGGCUCGCUGCCAGAGAUGCCUGCGGGCGUCGACUACACGAACGUCGUGAUCAAGCAGCUCGACUUUUCCGAAAUCGGCCUGGGACUGGUCGGGACGCUGCCUGACAGCUGGAGCAAGCUGCAAGGACUAACUGCCCUUACGUUUUCGGGCAACAACGUGAGCGGGACGCUGCCCGCCUCGUGGAAGUCAAUGGGGCUCUUGACUGAAUUGUGGAUUGAAGAUUGCGGCAGUAUCUCCGGCAGUCUGCCGCCCCAGUGGAGCUCGAUGUCUAAUCUAACCACGCUGCUACUCAGACACCUUCAGCUCAGCGGUACGCUACCGGGCGAGUGGGCUGCGAUGUCCUCGUUAAAUACGCUGGAGAUGACUGCUGCAGGCAGCAUCACCGGCACCCUGCCGCCCGAGUGGAGCUCGAUGAAAUCACUGACGAGCCUUUUCGUUAACGAAUCACAGAUCAGCGGCACGCUGCCCCAGCAGUGGAGCUCGAUGAAUGGGCUGAUCAUUCUCGGCUUGAUGCGCACUCAGGUCUCCGGCACACUUCCUGCGGCGUGGAGCUCGAUGAAAUCUCUGACGACUCUGAAUCUGCAGCGCACUAACCUUUACGGCACGCUGCCGCCCCAGUGGAGCUCGAUGACAUCGCUGAGCUUCCUUUAUCUUCGUCGCACCCGUGUCUCUGGCACGCUGCCGCCCCAGUGGAGCUCGAUGACAUCGCUGACCCUUCUUGUUAUGCAGGCUACUCAGGUCUCCGGCAGUCUGCCGCCCCAGUGGAGCUCGAUGAAAUCGCUGACCCUUCUUUCUCUGCGGCGCACUCAGGUUUCCGGCACGCUGCCGCCCCAGUGGAGCUCGAUGAAAUCGCUCACCCUUCUUGCUCUCCACUACACGAAGGUGUCGGGCACGCUGCCGCCCCAGUGGAGCUCGAUGAAAUCGCUGACCACCCUUGCUCUGCAGCACACUCAGGUCUCCGGCAGUCUGCCGCCCCAGUGGAGCUCGAUGACAUCGCUCAACCUUUUACAUCUGCACUACACUAAGGUCUCCGGCACGCUGCCACGCGAGUGGAGUAUGAUGACGAGUGCCGAGGUCCUUCAGCUGGAGUACUGCAACCUGUCCGGCAGUCUGCCCCCCGAGUGGUCUGCGAUGCCGAAGUUGGCUUCUGUCUCACUUAGGGGCAACCACUUCUGCGGGUGUGUGCCUGACUCGUGGGUGAAGAAGGCCGGACUCGCUGUGGACAUCGAGGACGAGCACAAGGGCAGCAACUGCCAUGCUGGUAAAGAUUGCCGGGCGAAAACUGCUCCACAAACCGCCAUAACCGCCACGAACUACCACCACUAACCUGACCAUCACCAACCCCCAGAAAACUACUGAGGCACCAUCUGAAUUCAUCACCCCUGCCACCCCAACAGCCACGCCUACUCCUGCCCGCGAGACGGAGUGCGAGGCGGAUGGGUGUGAGCUGUGCGAGGGGGACUCCGCGGCGAGGUGCGCCAGGUGCCGUGAGGGCUACUUCCUGACGAGCGAGAAGACGUGCCGGGCCGACCGCGAUGGCGGCGUUGUGGCCGUGUCGAGCGGAGCGGCUGCUGCCGCUGCUGUGUGCAUGGCUGUGCUGCUGAGCGUGGGGCUGGCGGCGUGAGGAUGCCGCUGCUGCCACGCGCAGGCGGCGGCACCCGCUGCGUGGCACACGGCUGCGUGCGUGCCUGUGGGCUGAUGGGGGCGGAGCGCGGGUGUGUGUGGAGCGGGGCAGCCGCUGGAGAGAGGGGGAGGGGGCGGUAGCCGAUGUGCAAGGGCCGCGGUGUUUGUGCGGCCAUGUGCGGCGUGCGGCACACGGGCGCUGCGUGCACCGGCUUGGGACCGACAGCCCGCACCCCCUUCCGUCGCCUCCACUUCUCCCUCGCUCCCUCGUUGCAGGUGAGAGGCGCGCACCCGUGGCUGCUGCGGCGCACACGCAAGGCAGCGUGUAUUGUGUCUCGGUGCGACCUCUUCAUCGUGGCCCCGCUCUGCGACACCUUGUUGCCCGGGCACUCCGGCGGCGUGCGCUCUGUCCCCCUCUCCUGUCACGUGUCGUGAUGCGCUGCUGCGCUGAGGAUGCGUGCCACGGCCUGCCAGCACGGCUGCUGCACGAGCCGCAGCAAUGGCGUACAGCAGGGUGUGGGCGUCGGGCGCAGUGCUGGUCUGGUGAGGCGGACCCCUCUUAUCUGUGGUGCCCCUGCUGCCUCCCCUCCCCCUCGGCACGACGCCCUCGCUGCCCUCUCACCCCCGGCUUCUACAGGAGAGACCGAUGCCCACGCGCGGACGCAGACACACACCAUCGUGCACCGUUCGCGCUUUCCCCCGCUGUCGCGCCGGCACGGAUGCACGAGGAUGCGGGGGCGUGCGCACGUAUGUGCGUGUGUGCGUGCCGGCUGUUGUCUGUCGCUCUCUCUCUGCGACCAGCACUCGGCACCCGCGCCGAUGGAAUGUGUGCGCGGCGGUGGAGGCUCGCCUUGGGCCGCGGGUGCGGACGUCCGCCACUGGCUGUCUGCGGUGCGGGCUGCUGUGCUGCAGCGCCUCGAGGCCCCCUUCUCCCGCCAGGGCGAGCGAGCGAGCCUCUGCUGCCGUGUGGGCGACGCACGCAUGCACCGUCCGGGCCUCUUCAACGGGCUUCGAUAGCGGUGCUGUGUUUUGGCCGUGUGGGCGGGUGCUGCGGUGGCGCCUGGUGUGGCUGUGCUGGCACGCCUUGCCGCGCCCCUUGCGCCGCUGCCAUCGGCGGCUUCGUCGCUGACGCUGCCGCUCGCACGCGUGCUCGGGCCGUCUGUGCAGCAGCGGUGGUGUGCCGGAGUCGGCGGCACGCCGUCGAACCCUGAUUGGCGCCUCCGCGAGGUGCGACGGGGAAGCUGGGGGGAUGGGGAGGGCGUGGGCGCCCUCGUGCGCGGCAUGCGGGGAUGCGCGUGCGGCGGCGCUCUACUGCGCUGAGUAGUGAGGCUCGGUGCACGCGGCGCGAUGGCACGCAGCCUCGCUACCGGGCCACCCCGCUGUGCGUACGCAGCGGGUGAGCAGGCCCGUGCUCUCCCCUGCACCUUGCCCCUCUCCCCCACCCUCCUCUCUCGCCUGCCGGCGAGGGGGGGGGGUGGCACGUGCGCGUGUGCCGCUGCGCUUGCGAGUGCGUCUGUGCGUGGGCCCUCACCACGUGCUCCGGUCACGCCUUCUCGGCUGGCCACUCGCGGCGCUGAGGGCGGUGUGCCCCUCCGCCGAGCGCCGUCGCACUCUCUUCCACGCGUCUGCGCGGGCUUCUUCGUGCGCUGUGCUCAGCCGUGCGCUCUCACCUCUUUCCCUUUUCAUUCGCUUGUCUUCUCUCUUCUCCCCCGCACUGCGGUCUCCCCUCCUCUGCCGUGCGGUGCGCAGGCGGGUGACUUGCCGUUGCGUCUCCCCCUUUCGUGGAGCGCUGAGCCGAUCCCCCUUCGGCCUCCCUCCUCCCUCCUCCCUCCUCCCGUGGGUCCUGUCUGUUGUACAUCGUCGGACCGUCUCUUCGUGUUUCCUCUCCGCCCCUUCUGCAAAUCUGCGCUCGCGUGUGCCGCCUCUCGGACGUGAGCCUUACUGUGAUUGUAUUCUCACGGUGCGUCUCCGUGUGUGUGUGCGCCACGCACCGCUUCUUCCAUGUGUGUCCUUGCUUGCUCUCUUCUGCCCCCCCCCCUCUGCCUCACACAUUCCGUGCGUGUGUGCAUCACCGUUGGGCGGCGACAUCGGUGCCCCUCCCUGCCACCCUCUCCUCCCUCAUUCGCAUCUUGCCACAUCGUGGGCGGUGCGUGCAUGCAUGGAUGUAUAUACACGCAUAGAGGGGUGGGGACGCGUGCAUGUGUGCGCGUACACACGCAUGUGUGUCGGUGCACCACUAUAUAUAUGUGUGUGUGCGUGUACGCCGACAGACAGGUGUGUGGGUGCGCAUGUACAUGUAGACAUGCGUAUCGAUGUAUAUAGCCGACCGCGUGCCGUGUGUAGGCGUGUGUGCGUGUAUAUCAGUGUGUGCCGGCACGUGUGUCGCGCCACGCUCUCUUGCCCGCCUCCCCUGUGCCUGUCACUCGCUCUGGGCGCGCUGGCGGCGGGCGCCGGGUGGUGGCCGCGCGGAAGGUGGGCGGCGGCCCUUCCCUAUUUCUGUCUUUCGCUAUUUCUCUGUGUCCUACUCGCGUG
rnacentral:misc_RNA from 1 species